rnacentral:rRNA from 1 species
AACGUAGGAGGCAAGCGUUAUCCGGAGUUACUGGGCGUAAAGCGCAUGUAGGCGGUUUCUCAAGUGGCGUGUGAAAGCUCCCGGCUAAACUGGGAGAGGACACGUCAGACUGAGAGGCUAGAGGGGGCUAGAGGGGCGCAGAAUUCGGGGUGUAGCGGUGAAAUGUGUAGAGAUCCCGAGGAAUACCAGUGGUGAAGACGGCGCCCUGGGGCCUUACUGACGCUGAGAUGCGAAAGCGUGGGGAGCGAACGGGAUUAGAGACCCCGGUAGUCCACGCCGUAAACGAUGUGAACUAGGUGCCCACUGCCUUCGGGGAGGGGGUGCCGAAGCUAACGCGCUAAGUUCACCGCCUGGGGAGUACGGUCGCAAGGCUAAA